CCGUCCGGGCAGCGCACCGCCGCGGGCCCUCGCGACCUCGAGAGCGCGGGUCCGGGACGCGGCGAUGCUCGCCGAGGCCGUGGGAAGAGAUUCCGGGCAGCGGAGCAUUUGCAAAACAUGCUCUGUGGUGAGCACACCUGAAGCCUGUAUGUGGGGAGUAGAUGGCUGGAAAAGCUUACUGACUUGGCACAUGAUGAAGAUUCCUUAUAGAUUUCCCAGAUGGACUGACUAAUUGGAAUAGGUCUGAGAGCUGGGCUUCCGGGGCAAGUUUUACUGAGAAAUACGAUACACAAUGAGCUGCCUGCCGAGAUGCAGAUACCGUGCUGUGAUUGGAURGUCCUUGUUGUUCCAACACCACAUGCAUCUGAGAAACAUGGGCCCCCAUCAGGUGAAGCCACCCUGAGGGUUCUAGGACACUUGGUGCCUGCCUUCCCAGGAGCUGCUGUGACCAGAGAGCCCUGGAGUCUCCUUGGUGGGAAAGAUAAUAGGAAUUCAGAGGCAAACAGUGCCAGAVGAAAUGUUUGUAAUGGCUUCARCACAGCCCUGGAGUCGACCAGAUACCGAAGCAUAGUGAUGUGGGGCCCACCAGACUGAGGAUGGAAGUCUAGCUCUGUUCUUCAGCUCUCCCCAUUCUAUGAUGUGGAUAAUCAGAGCACCUAUCUGCUACGCCGACCCCUCCCUGCAGAAACGACAAUGAACAAAGGGUUCCCCUGUGCUUGGAUUGUCUUCUGCCAGGGUGGAAAGGAAGAUYGUGGUUUCAUCCCAUGUCUAAUUCUGGAACUCUGAGGAAAGAGGUUCCAAAUAUUAGGGGAGGCUCAACACACAUCCAUGAAGUUCCCAUUGGCCUUAUGGAAUUGGAGAAUAAGAGAAGCUAGAGACGUCAUGGGGUGUGACUCCCUUUCCCCUGRCCCUGCAGGUGAGAAGGCUUCCCCAGACUUCACCCCUCCAGAGACUGGCAGCUGGGCUCCACAGCGAAUAGUGCUCUGAGGCCAAGGUGCAAGCCCCAACUUCUGAUUUCAGAUGUGUYCAAUGGGAGGAAGGGUCCGAAGGGGUCUGGAUACAGUGCCGUCAGUGCUUCUCAGAUCUGAUGCUUCUGGGAACCCGCCUCCAGCUCAACAAUGGACCUCCUGCCCAGCAUCCUGUUCACCCUGAAUGGUGUCUUUCUGACUCUUGAGCAUGUGGAUCCAGGAGCCCCCUGAUUUCCUCUGCCCCCCUCAUCCCUGAACAGAUGGCCCUCUGCAGAUCCUUUGAGCAUGAAUGACCCAAGAUGAAAGGGGCACAUGGUGAAAGUGUUUGCCGCAGAGUGCCAGGGCUCUAUGGCACCGACCAUACACCGAUAUGGAGGGGUGCUACUGUCCCUCUGACCCCACCCCCUCAUCAGCCCCUCACUCCCAGUCCUUUCUGUUUUCCUCUGAGUAUGCUUGUCCCCUUCCAAUUCAUAAAUCAGGUAUAAAGGGAAUGGGGUGUGAGGGUCUCUGUACUUACACAUAGCUUGGUGUAAUUUGACAUAGUACAGAUAUCUUUCCACACAUACACCAGGAGAGCAACCCUGGGGUAGGGCUGUUUGUUCAUGGGCAGUCACAGCUGGGAGGCUGUGCUGUUUUGGGUGUGAGGCUGAUGUGGCCUUCCUGGUGGGCCUCAUCUUCUUGGGAGACACACACACUGGCUCAUCUCUGAUCCCCUGGUGGAUCUCCACUCCCUGAGGACUCAGUCUCAUACCUACAGCGUUUCUGGAGAUGUUUGAACAAAGUCAGGGCUUAAUUGAUGCCUGGUGAUAAAUUCGUUCCCUUAAGAAUCCACCUAAGCCCUAAUUACCAAGAUGCUCUCAACAUCUCUGCUGCCUAAUGCCUAAAAACACAUCAUUUAAGCAUUUACUUCUUUUUAUGGAUCAGGUUGCUGUCUCCCUGGAGGAAUCGGGACUGGUUCUGGAGGAACCCAAUCCUCUUUGAACUGCAUUCACAGAUUUCUGACUGUGAAUGGUUUUCUUGGUGUGUCUGUAAACUGAUAGUGGGCUUUCAGAUCAAUAUAAUGGGAUCCAUUAGGCAUUUUUUAACGAGCCAGUGAUCUUACUGACCUGGUAAUGCCUUCUGCCUUUUGGACUGGUGAGUUGACUGAGGUUCCAGGGUAGGAUCCUGAACUCUCCACAUCCACCUCCAUCUCCACUAUUUGAAGCCCCACCUUUGGGGCUGUAAACUUCCAAACUAGGACAACACCCCUGACACCCAGACCGUGCAUGCUCUCUAACCUGGAAGGUCCUGAAUGGGCAAUCACAUCUAAACCAAACAGACUUUAGUGUCAUCCUUAAUUUCUGCCCUGCUGCUCCACCCCAGAACCAUUCACUUAACUCUUCGCCUUUUUUCUUGGAUGCACUAGGGUUGGAUCUGCAGAGCCAAGUAGCUGGGGCCAUAAAUGGAAUGACAGUGACCUGAGAGUCUUCAGAGGCCUCACCCUGACUGGAUGUGUUAAGGUUCCUGCUUGGUGGGAAGCCCAUUGCACAUGGCGCAGAAUGGUUUAUUUUAAAAUACAAGGCUCCCUUCCCCAGUGGUCUGUCCCAAAGUGUACUGCUUCAUCUGGGCCUUUAGUGGUACAUUUCAGUGAAGGGAAGUUUCACCCACCCUUUUCAUCCAGCCUAUUCCUUCUCAGUGUCCCCAGUAUUUGCUGAUUCUCCCAGAAGGGGCAGUUUCAAGCCAUUUCUUUCUUUUUAAAAUUGUUUUUAUUAGUGCAUUAUCGUUAUACAUAAUAGUGGGGUUCCUUUGACGUAGUCAUAUGUGCGUCGAAUAUAAUUUGCUCCAUUUCAGUCCCUGGUGCUAAUAUUAGGCUGUUUCUAAUGAGUCUUUUCAACUCUAUUCCCUACCCCAUCCCUGACAGCACAUCCAAUGGGUGUUGCCUUUGUGACCUUGACACUGCUCAGUGGACGAUUCCAUUCCCAUCUCACUUCUCCUAAUAUUGUCUAAUGCACGAGUUGCCUAUUCCUGUUCUUGUAGAGUGCCUAGUGUAGAGUCCAGCCUCCUAGCUGGAGCCCCUGCCCCGGGAGUGGUACUUAGGAUGUCAGAAUGGGACAUUCCUUCCCCUCAUCACUGAUGGAACUGUGAAUCAACAAGACAACUGCAGGUCUCUGUGUCUGUAUCGAUCAUUACAUUCUACCACCUCCCCCUCAGUAGAGGGAGACUGUUGUUCACUAUUUUCUUUGCUUUCUCCCCAGCACCUAGAACAGUGUCAGGCACCGAAUAGGCCCUCCAUUGAUGUUGGUAAGGAAACAUCCUUUGACCUGGCAAUUCCAUGGCCAACGGAAUGGAUUUGCUAUAGAAGAAGUUGUGUGUUUUCAUCUCUGCUACCUCACCAGAAAUCAAGAAGAUGCUGGCACGAUGCUACUAGACCCCUGAGCCAUGAACCAAAGUAAAACUUUAUUGUUUGUUUACAUUACAGUCUUAGAUAUUUUGCAGUAAAGAAUGGAUUAAAACAUAGGACCCACCCCAUACUGUUAACAUCUCUUCCCCCUUCUCUAUUCCCUUGUCAUUCAUGUAAUUAUCAUCUUCUUUUAUUUACGGAUUUGUGGAUUCUAUACAUUUUAUGUAAAUAGAAUCGUAUA